UUUAAAAUAUAAUAUUAAACAGAAUUUUCGAAUUUUUUUUUUGAAUUGACUUCGUGGAAGAAUGAGAUUGAGAUAGAGAAAAGCACAUUGAACACAAUACAAAAUCAUGUUCAAUCAUGACUUUCACCAUUGCGCACAUUGGAUUACGGGUACUGUUAGCCAAUAGUGCGACACAGUUUCUCAUGAUUUUUCAAAGCCUACUUUGACAACGAUAUGCAAUUGAAUGUUUUUAGAUAGAUUUUUUACAUAUUUUUUUUCGUUUUCAACAUUCAUUCAUUGGAAGGAACAACGAAUCGGACACAUCAAAUGUCGAAGAAGAAUAUGGACACAUUUUUAGUUCUUACACAGGGAAUCGUUCAGAAACCGACCACAAGCGAUGUCAGAACCCGGAAAAUAUGAAUACAAAGGGUCGGUAAGUUUUUUUUUGCAUUGCAUUUCAUCCACAAUCGUAUUCUUCCCGGGUACAAAUUAAAUGAAUAUAGGCCGCCUCCCGUAGUUUACUCCGUCUACAAGUAAUUUACGUUGUGUGAGUAGUGGCCUUGGCACCAAGUGCUAUUCUAUAGCAGUACGCAAUCCGCCAAGGUGGAGAAAACCUAUUUUCAUUAAAAUUUAAAGGGUUUUUAGCAAAACAAUAUUUUGAACGCUAAAAAAUGGUCUUAUUCACAUUAAUUAACACCGUUUGAUUUGACGAUGUACUACAACAUCGAACACUGUAUAUUUUGAGUAAAAAUGUAACAGAACGACAAUUGGACAACAUUUUCCUAAGAAAUCAAUAAACAAUAUUUCAUCACAA